rnacentral:rRNA from 1 species
AGCAGCCGCGGUAAUUCCAGCUCCAAUGGCGUAUAUUAAAGUUGUUGCAGUUAAAAAGCUCGUAGUUGAAUUUCGGGAUUUGUCAGUUGGUCGGGCUUCACUGUCCGUAUUGACUUGAUAGAUUCUUACCUUCUGAAUAACCGGCAUGCUAUUAAGUUAGCGCGUUGGGGAAGCAGAUCUAUUACCUUGAAAAAUUAGAGUGCUUAAAGCGAGCUAGUGCUUGAAUAGAUUAGCAUGAAUAAUAAAAUAGGACGGCAUGGUUCUGUUUUGUUGGUUUCUAGGAUCACCGUAAUGAUUAAUAGGGAUAGUUGGGGACAUUAGUAUUCAAUUGUCAGAGGUGAAAUUCUUGGAUUUAUUGAAGACUAACUUCUGCGAAAGCAUUUGCCAAGGAUGUUUUCAUUAAUCAAGAACGAAAGUUAGGGGAUCGAAGACGAUCAGAUACCGUCGUAG